GAGGAAGUAAAAGUCGUAACAAGGUUUCCGUAGGUGAACCUGCGGAAGGAUCAUUAUUGAAUAAGUUUGGUUGGGUUGUUGCUGGCUUUUCGGGGCAUGUGCACGCCUAACACCAAUCUUUUUUUAAACCACCUGUGCACCUUUUGUAGACCUGGAUAUCUCUCGAGGAAACUCGGUAAGAGGACUGCUGUGCGUCAAAGCCGGCUUUCCUUACAUUUCCGGUCUAUGUCUUUAUAUACACCAUUAGUAUGUCUAUGAAUGUUUAUUUAUCGGACUUGAUUGUCCAAUAAACCUUAUACAACUUUCAACAACGGAUCUCUUGGCUCUCGCAUCGAUGAAGAACGCAGCGAAAUGCGAUAAGUAAUGUGAAUUGCAGAAUUCAGUGAAUCAUCGAAUCUUUGAACGCACCUUGCGCUCCUUGGUAUUCCGAGGAGCAUGCCUGUUUGAGUGUCAUGAAAUUCUCAACCUUCUCAACUUUGUGUUGAUUGGGCUUGGAUGUGGGGGUUUGCUGGCUUCUCUGAAGUCCGCUCUCCUUAAAUUYAUUAGUAGGACCUAUGUUGCCUUUGCUUUUGGUGUGAUAAUUAUCUACGCCAUUAUGUGAAGCAGCCAUUUAAUUGGGGUUACUGCUCUCUAACCGUCUCUUAUGGGACAAUUCUUGACAAUUUGACCUCAAAUC
rnacentral:rRNA from 1 species